AUGAAGGCCUUUGGGUUGUAAAACUCUGUCUUCUGUGACGAACAAGCCUGUGAGUAAAAUGCUCAGGCCCUGACGGUAACAGAGGAGGAAGCCACGGCUAACUACGUGCCAGCAGCCGCGGUAAUACGUAGGUGGCAAGCGUUGUCCGGAAUCACUGGGCGUAAAGCGCGCGCAGGCGGCGAUCUACGUCUAGGGUGAAAGCCCGGAGCUCAACUCCGGGACUGCCUUGGAUACGGGAUCGCUUGAGAAUUGGAGAGGCAAGGGGAAUUCCACGUGUAGCGGUGAAAUGCGUAGAUAUGUGGAGGAACACCUGUGGCGAAGGCGCCUUGCUGGCCAAUUUCUGACGCUGAGGCGCGAAAGCGUGGGGAGCAAACAGGAUUAGAUACCCUGGUAGUCCACGCCGUAAACGAUGAGUGCUAGGUGUUGGGGGGUACCACCCUCAGUGCCGAAGCUAACGCAUUAAGCACUCCGCCUGGGGAGUACGGUCGCAAGACUG
rnacentral:rRNA from 1 species